GAUGAACGCUAGCUACAGGCUUAACACAUGCAAGUCGCAGGGUAACAUGAGGAAAGCUUGCUUUCCUUGAUGACGACUGGCGCACGGGUGAGUAACGCGUAUCCAACCUUCCCAUAACUACGGGAUAACCCGUUGAAAGACGGCCUAAUACCGUAUGAUAUCGUUUGCUGACAUCAAAUAACGAUUAAAGGUUUAGCGGUUAUGGAUGGGGAUGCGUCUGAUUAGCUUGUUGGCGGGGUAACGGCCCACCAAGGCGACGAUCAGUAGGGGUUCUGAGAGGAAGGUCCCCCACAUUGGAACUGAGACACGGUCCAAACUCCUACGGGAGGCAGCAGUGAGGAAGAUUGGUCAAUGGGCGAGAGCCUGAACCAGCCAAGUAGCGUGCAGGACGACGGCCCUAUGGGUUGUAAACUGCUUUUAGGUGGGGAUAAAGUGCGUGACGUGUCAUGCAUUGCAGGUACCACAUGAAUAAGGACCGGCUAAUUCCGUG
rnacentral:rRNA from 1 species